rnacentral:lncRNA from 1 species
GUGAGCCCCAGGUGACCCCCAGGUGUCCCCAGGUGUCCCCCAGGUGUGUCCCAGGUGACCCCCAGGUGACCCCAGAACCCACAGGUGAGUCCCAGGGGGCGCUGCAGGAGCAUCUCCGAGAACAGCAGGUAAUCUGGGGGGACAGGGGGGGACAGGUGGGGACAGGUGGGGACAGGUGAGCUCAGGUGACCCCCAGGUGACCCCCAGGUAACCCCCAGGUGUGUCCCAGGUACCCCCAGGUGUCCCCAGGUGUCCCCAGGUGUCCCCAGGUACCCCCAGGUGACCCCAGGUGCUGCAGGAGCAUCUCCGAGAACAGCAGGCAAUCUGGGGGGACAGGGGGGACAGGGGGGGACAGGUGAGCCCCCAGGUAACCCCCAGGUGUGACCCAGGUACCCCCAGGUGACCCCCAGGUGCUGCAGGAGCAUCUCCAAGAACAGCAGGUAAUCUGGGGGGACAGGGGGGGACAGGUGAGUCCCAAAUACCCCCCAGGUGACCCCCAGGUGUCCCCAGGUGACCCCCAGGUGACCCCCAGGUGCUGCAGGAGCAUCUCCAAGAAGAGCAGGUAAUCUGGGGGGACAGGGGGGGACAGGUGACCCCCAGGUGAGUCCCAGGUACCCCCAGGUAACCCCCAGGUGACCCCCAGGUGCUGCUGGAGCAUCUCCGAGAACAGCAGGUAAUCUGGGGGGACGGGGGGGACAGGUGAGCCCCAGGUGACCCCCAGGUGACCCCAGGUGUCCCCAGGUGACCCCCAGAUACCCCCAGGUAACCCCCAGAUGAGUCCCAGGUGACCCCCAGGUGACCCCAGAACCCCCAAGUGACCCCAGGUACCCCCCAGGUGACCCGGGGUGACUCCAGGUGUCCCCAGGUGACCCCCAGGUACCCCCAGGUGACCCCAGAUGACCCCCAGAUGACCCCCAAGUGACCCCAGGUGUGGGGGCGGGGCUGGGGGAAGGAGAAUUUUUGGCUCCCCUCCCUCCAUUUUUGGGGUUCUUGUCCCUGAGGUUCUUGGGGCUCACCGCCCAUUUUUGGGGUUCCCCCACAGCUUUUUGGGGUUCUGUCUCCCCCCCCGCAGGUUUUUGGGGCUCUGCCCCCCAUUUCUGGGGCUCUCCCCCAUUUUUGGGGUUUCCCCACAGGUUUUGGGGCUCUCCGCCCCAUUUUUGGGGUUCUCUCUCCCCCUCACCACAGGUUUUUGGGGUUCUCCCUCGGUUUUUGGGGUCUCUCUCACCCCCAGGUUUUUGGGCUGUUUUUGGGGUUUCCCCGGGGUAUUUUUGGGUCCCCCAGGUGUUUUUGGGGUCCCCCCGGGUGUUUUUGGGGUUUUUGGGGUGCUCACGUCUCGCUCAGGGUCUCGUACAAGCCGUGGUCC